AGGUUACAUUUUAAAGGUUAAUUUGGCGCACGAAUCCCAAGUCAGAAAGCGAGCCGCUAGCGAGAAGAGUUUGCGCUUAUCGCACCACUUAUCACUGAUUUUUUUCCCUAAUCGGGACAACAAAGCACAUUUGUUGGAUAUUAUCGCAAAUUACGUAAUCCUACCAGCUGUUCGAUAAACUUGCCGAAAGUGCGCCAGGGCACAACCCGGCAACGCCGCCCUACAGUGUGGCCAAGUUGCGUUUUUGAAAAUUGGUCCCAAAAUCGAAUCAAAUUAUACAAACCAGGCGUUCUUCGCCCGAUAACGAGGGGCAACAGCUGGGCGAGCACGUCUUUUCCAGUCCCCGACCUUAGGGUUAGGGUCGUACUGCAAGCGCCUAACUUCGACUUUGGGUUUUUCAUUUUUAACGUCCGAAUCUCGUACUUUGGGGUACCCGAACUUCUUCUCCUCACUUUUGGUUAGAGGAUUUUCCAUGUUAUGAGAAAACGAACCGAUCUUUAGCACUUAUUUUCUCGCAUUGUGACUAUGACAUUUGUUUUGGAAAAAAAGACAAGUACGAAACGUCACUUGAUUUAUUGUUGCCAAGUUCCGGUUGUUUUUCCCGGAAAUUUUCAUUUCCCCGGAUUUGGGACCGGGUUAGGGUUUUUGCGUGCGACCGUUGGCAGCGGUUUGAACUAACCCUUGUUCUGUGGUUGACAGUUGACACCUUGUAGCAGCGUGUGAGCGUCGUGAGCGUGUUGUGCAUCGAUUAACAGGCAGUUUGUUUAUUAUGGAGGAUAAUCCGGCGAAACGUUUAAAAUCUACCCUUUCACCGGUUUUUGAAGAUGUCUUGAAAUCCGAUACUUUUGUUGAUAAAAGUGCGUUGAUGUUAGCAGUUUUUGAAACGGACGAUAAACCUAUGGUAUUGUGUACCGCACCGCGCCGAUUUGGCAAAACUGUAAACUUAUCCAUGAUGCAACGAUUCUUGGAGUUGGAAGUAGAUGAAAAUGGAGAGGAGAAAACAAAGGUUUUGAAAGAAAAAGACAAUUACAAACUGUUCAGUUCAGCAAGGUUCAAGUUAAAAGUCAUGGAGAAUACGAAGUUUGUAGAAACUCAUUUCGGACAAUAUCCGAUAAUCGAAAUAAAUUUUCUCUGUUGUGAUGACGUGACAAGCAAAUCUGAUGCAGUGAAUGUGUGUAGAAGCGCUAUAUCGGAAGCUUUUAGGCAACACAGUUACCUUUACGAAUCCAAAUUGUCACCGUUGAAAGACUAUGAAAAAAAGCAUUGCGAACAAUGGUGUGACGAAUUUACCUACACAGGAAUUCCAGAUGACAAAGUAAUCAAGGGGUUGGGAUGCUUGGCAGCUUAUCUGAAUAAGUUUCAUAAAAGAAUGGUUUUUCUACUCGUUGACGAGUACGACUCGAUCAUUUCAAAAGCGUUGUAUAAAGUGAAGAACGCUGAUCCAGAGACUGAGCUUGAAGAGCUAGAGAAUGCUGCCUCAUUCCCAAUUGAAGUAAUUGGAUAUGCUCUAAAAAAAAUUCCUGGGAUCUUUAAAGGAGCGUAUAUUACCGGAAUUUUGGAUGUGGGUGGUGUAGCGAUUUCCACCCUAUUGGGUAAUGUAUUGCGACGGCAAUUCGGAACCAACAAUCUGUGCCAAGAUUUCUAUGGAUUCACUGAAGAUGAAGUUUGUACUCUAUUUAAUCGGUUUGCAGUAAAGAAGGAAUUGAGAGAAAAAGCGAAGGCUAAAUAUAAUGGGUAUUUAAAUGGCGCGAAACAAUGCCUAUAUAAUCCUCAAUCGAUUGUGCAGUUUUUGGGAAAUUUAUCUCUGGGAGAAGGUGCUUUAAAAAAUUAUUGGCAACAAUCUGGUUACAUUCACAAUAUGUAUAAUUUAUUUGAAGAGGACAGCGUGAGAAGGUUGUUGUAUGAACUUCUACAAGGUGUUAAAGAAGAUUUUCAAUUCACGUUAGAACCGUUACAAUUAAGAGAUCUGAAAUCUUUGCAUAACAUAUUAGUUAAUCGACAUUUGACUUGUGACAAAGAAAUAGUUGUUCGAUUUCUUGUAUCUCUAGGAUACUUAACAUAUUCAUUUGAUGAUCGCAAACUCCAAAUACCUAACGCUGAGCUAAUUGAUGAAAUUACGAAGCUGCUACGAGCUUAUUUUUUUGAAAGAUUUGGUAUUAACAGUAAAUUGGCUGAAGAUUGUUCAGCAUCAUUUUCUAAGCUAACCAUUCUCUGUGAUGAAGGUGAUUCAUUAGCAGAGUUCAAAGAAGAAUUAACAAAUUUUCAAAAUAGUAUAACCUGUCUACUUCAACGUUCAACACUUAUCGAUCCAUUGAAUGAGGCAACUUUACAGAGUAUAAUUACAUUGACAUGUAGUAAAGCAGGAUUUCUCUUCGGAAACGAAAUAACAAUUCCAAUUCAUAAAACCAAAGUUGAUAUAGUACUGUUUAAUGAUAAAUCUGGGAUAAUAAUGGAAUUAAAAUGUGGUCCAAAUACUGUACAAGACGCAUUUAAACAAAUCUUUCAAAAUCGGUACUACAAUGUUUUCACAAAUAAGAAGUAUUUUGAUGAACGUAAGAAAUCUCCUUCUCUUUCUUUUGUUAUGGCAAUGCAUGUGGAUUCUGACAAGAAAGGAUCUGUGAUGUGCCUGCGACGCGAGGAUGUUAUUCACGUUCUGGAUGAUCUGCAACUUGACGCUAGAAGAUCGCAUUGAGAUAGCUGUUAAUUCUAUGAGUGAACGUUUCAUUAACACUUGUUGCGAAAGAGCAAUUCUUGGCUCUUAACAUACCAGAGAAACCGGUUCAGUUUUUGUUUGAAAUUUUUGAAAUUUAAAGUAGCUAUUUUUAAGUUCAACGCGGCAUGUUAAUUUCAGUUUCGAUCAACUAAAUCUGUUCCAUUUCAUAUUUCAUAUUUAUAUAUAGUUAUAAUAAAACAUGAAUUACAAAGUUUAUAUUGUUUUAGUAGAAAUGCAAAGACUCCUUUUUGAUAUUGGACUUUAAUAAUUGGAAGCCGGUCUGAUGGGUUUUAACGGUUCAGUUACCCAAACCAGCUUGAUCAGGAAAUGAAAUCCACAAUAUUUCGGGGUAUUCAGGAUUGAUGGUCGUGCCGAUGAUUCUCCUCGAUAGACACAUACCUAUAAACGGUAUAAGCUGUCGUGAAAGAGGAGAUGCUGUAAGAAUAGAUCGGAUUGUAGUCGGGGAAUGUUUUUCGUACGACUGUCCGAUUGUUUCUAGAGUGACAGUGUCGGGGUAGUCUUUAGCCAGUUGGGCCAAAUAAGCAUUAAUCUUUAAAACAAUAACUAAAAACGGGAGUUAUUUUUUCCAAGUGUUACCUCAGCGUGGCGUAAAUAUUGGUCAAAAGUAAUUUUUCCCAAACCUAAAGCUUGUCUCGAUUUGUGGUAGUGUUUUUCAGUCUGAAUGGCGGUUCCAACAUUUUCGAUUUCAAUGCUAAACUCAAGAUCGUUGAGCCCUCGUAUUUGGCACUAGACAAGCCCACGAGGGCUAGUACUAUCAAUACUGGCACUUUCAUUGCGAUAUCUACUGAGGUAUCGAGAGCAGAAUCUCUUUUAUAAACGUGGUGGAUAAACAACAGUCUAAUCUGCUGAUUCUUCGAUAAAAUUGAAUUGAAUUUGUCCUAAUUCUCUUUUAAUCCAGUGUUUUAACGGAUUACGUCUUCAAAUAUUUGUUUAGUGGUUAAAAAUCCAGCUUCAAUAGUUUAAUCCCGUGAUAUUUCAUCCUUGAGUGAUACAAGAAUUUUGUCUAUUAUUAUUAAUUUUUUGCCAUAAAUUGCGACUUCAUAAUUAAUUACCCGAUUUUAACAAAUUACUGAAUAAAAAAUUUCUCAAUUACUUUAUAUCGUACAUAUUUUUGAAUUAAUGGUCCGACUAAUGCCAUUCAAAUACUUUCGUGUUAAUUAUUAUUUAUUACUUCUUGUUAGUGUGAUUAUUUAAUAUAACGUUUGGGGCCCGUUUAUAAAAUGGUUUGUUAAGAUUUAAUUCGUUGUUAAAAGUUAACAACGCAAAUCAAAUCAAAUUUGCUAAUUUGUUAGUUGCAAAUUAACUUAAUGGCCCUUAGAUAUAUAUACAAAAAUAAAAGUGUCUCAGAUCAAUGCAAAGCGCAAACAACAUUCUUUUUAUCAAAACUAAAUUACUUACAUAAUGAAAUUUGUAAAUGGUUUCUAAUAAUCUUAAGCAAAAAAAUUUUUCUUAAUUUCUGGGUUUCUGGGUCCAUUAGUUAUAACUAUAACUUACUAUAACUAUAAAGUCUACCUUUGUGCCCUAUUUCAAUAAAAAAAAUGCAAAUCCGCUGUUGCUAUUUUCAUUAAAAAGGUAGAUCUUUAAAUUUAAACAGUCAGUAUACAGCGUGCUCAAAAACUGGCGCACCAACUCAUUGGUGUGUGGUAGAGAACUGGUUACAUAUCAAGGUAAAAAUAGUAAAAAAAUUCUUUGAAUUAAAGUUAUUGAUAAAUAACUAAUUUUAGAUAAAUGAUAUGUGGCAACGUUGUCUAACAGUCAUGAUCGCAAUAGAAUUUGAUCAACAAUAAAAAUAAAUUAUUUUUGAAACGGUUUCCUAGGAAAUAAUUCCCAGUGUUGGCACAUCUACACAUUGUGAUUUUUUGGAUGAAUUUUAAUUUUUUUUAAUUAAAAAAACUGCUAAAAUCUGAUAGUAAAUUUAAAAAUAAUUAUUCAUCGUUUUGUUACGGAACGAUUACCUGGUAUGAAACAUAGAAAUAUAAAAAAAUAAUGAUAACUAAAGAAGUUAACACAAUAAGUUUGUAGCUCAAGAUUUUUUAAAAUAUGACUAGGAAUUUUUUUAACAUUUUUCCCGUGAUCUACACGUGCUUCUCAACAACGUACCACUGCGUUGGUGCGCCAGUUUUUGAGCAGCCUGUAGAUAAAUCUAGAUAAUUCUUUUGUUCUACACACAUUCACUGAAACUUGGUUAGAUAAUAACUUGAUAAUAUCGGGUGAUUCAAAAAUGUGUGGCAUAAUUUUAACCACGAAUACCCCUCUACAAUUAAGAAUAGAUAGGAUAGUAUUUACUGACCCACCACAAAAAAUUGGAAAAUUACAAUUUUUCAAAAAUUGGUAUGGAAAAAUGGUUUUUUGAAAAUAUUUUUGUUACCGUUCAUGCGAUUAUUAUGAAAUUUUGCAUGCCAAGAGACACAAAGACGCCCUUUGAUAUGGUGUAAAUGGAAAUCUUGUAAAAGCUAUACAUUUCCGGUGACAAGGGGGCCCUUCCAGUUUUUAGGUGAUAACUUAAUUUUUCGGCCUAUAAACACGUAUUUUUGAUGUCAAAAAUCAAAAGCCCAAUUAUUUUUUAAUAAAAAAGGUACUCUUGCUUCAUGUCGUCAAACUGUACCGUUCUCGAGUUAUUUGGGAUUAAACUAAACUCUAAAAAAAACGUCUUUUUUAUUGUUGAAUUGGUGGUCAAAAGGGCAUUGUGUGACAAAACCGAUUUCGGGGUGAAAUGGGGCGAAAACUGCAAUAGCGCAUUUGCGGAGCUAUAAAUAUUGAAAUUAGGUGAAAAAGUGGGAAAAAUUAAGAAGCAAUUUGUGAGGGUGUUUAGUGUUUUUUCGGAUUUUUAUUUUAUUAAACGGUUUCAAAGCUGACAACCAAACAUACAUCUACGCAAAUUGAAACGUAUUUUGCUAGUGUGAAACUGGCUUCAUGUUCGGGUUUCUUCGGAAUUUCGAGGAGCUGGUUUGGGGAGCUGUCUUCACACAAAUCUUAUCGCAUUAUAUGCUACUGAACAGGCCCCUGAAAGUGUAUACAAAUUAUGUGUUCACUGUGAGGGGUGGGGCAAAGGGGGGAAACGGCUAACAUAGUUCGUGUGCUCCAGCUUAGAGGUCGCGUCAGUUGCAAAGAAAUCUGUAAAUUUAAAGUAAUCUGUCACACAUUUUGCUAAAAGUAAAGAAGGUUCACUUAAAAAUAAUCGACGUGCGCACACUUCUCUUUUUAAUUCUUUGAUUUAUCAACAGCCGAUUAUUUUGCUGUCGUUGCGGUUUUUGGCGACAUUUUGUUUUAAUGUGUUUUAAAGACUUCAGAAAACGAUUUAACGUGAUUUUUUGGAUGUUUUUGUGAUCAAACAUCUCUACUUUUAUAUGGAUCUUUUAUUUGAAUCUAGUGUAUAGUGUGAAUGACAGUGUUUUAAUGAAGGAUGAAUCAACUUAAGGCAAAUUAAGAUAUUAAUAUAAUCAUAUUACACUAAGAAGGAUCACACAAACUUCUCUAAUAAGGGAAUUUCUUGAUGUUUAGGAGAUGAAGACCGUCCUUGGAGAUGAUAACGGUUCUUGGGAUGUAAUUGAAAAUCCCAUGAAGACGAGUUAAAUAUAAUGUGCAGUAAUUAAUAGGUAUAUCAUAAUAAUAAAUAAAUUUAUUGUAGUUGCGAAGCUAGUAUUUUGUGAAAGCAGGGAGUUUAGGACUUGCAAUGGUUCAAGGUUAUCAAAUUCGCCAUGUCCCUCUAUGUCUUAAUCUUUUAUGUUGUUUUACACAAUGUUAUAACGCCUAUGCCUGUUAAAAAAACAAGGUUUGUCCUUUUUGUGAUUGCUUAAUUUAGAAACUAAGCGAAAAAACGUAUUCUACAAGUAUCAUACAAGUUAAUCAAUAUUAAAGCCUACUAUUAUUAUAAAUUUAAAUGAUUA